UUGAACUAUGGUAGACGGUUUUCAGUCCGGCAACAAAAUUGGAUCCGGUCCAAAAAUUAGCCUCAUUCAAAUGAAUGUUGUGCGACGUGGGUCCGACAAGGAUACGACAGCGGACGGUUUUUAAAUUCUCCUGCCAGAUCUGGCUGCAGUAUCCACAAAACGUGGUGUGAAUGAGCCCUAAUAUCGGCAGAGAAGAACCAUUUGACCCCUCUAAACCAUGUGUAUAUACGGUCCCAACCAGUUUCACACAGUUUUUGGCUCAUUCCUCAUUCCUAAGGGUGCCUUCAUUCCACGGUUUAUGGCGACCGUGUAGUGUGUUAUAUGAUAAAACCAUAUAGAACCAUAUUUGAUAGCUGCCGUUCAGUUGAUUUUUUCUUGUAGAACAAAACAACGGGUCCUAGCACGAUUUUGUCUAUUGUUUCAAAACCAUAUAUUAUAUUUUUUCCUGAACUGUGACAGUCCCGGGCACUGGCAGUACAACACAACCCCAUUCACUUUAAUAGAGCCAUGUUGUACUUUCCUGAACAGCUGGUAGCCAAAUACCAAACACACCUCUGUCUCUUUGUUCUCUGGAUCGGUAAGGGUCCCAGAGGUCAGACCCCCACUGAUCAUAACAUUACGGCAUAUCGUUUUGCUACGCCAUCACUUUAAAUUGCUUAAGUGCCCCUUUAAUGGAAUACUUAUACUUUAUCGACCCUAACAUCUGGAUCUAUUAGAAAAGCUACGGCUGCAUAUCGGGACCUUAAAAAGACCCUACCACCAAAUGGAAUUAUUAUUUUUUAUUUUUUUUUCCACUUUAAACAUUUUAAAGUUGACAUCACAAGCCAUAUGGACCUAUAUUUUUCCUAUUAUAUUUUGCCCUGAAGGCGAUUUUGGUUAUUUAUUUAUUUUUUUGUGGGACUUCACAUUAAUUAUAUUUUAUAUGGAGAUAAAAUGCGUAGUUUUCGGGUAGUCGUAACCUAAUAUGCCGCUAAAACGCAUGACGAUUUUUCACUAAGCAGCUUAGGUGCAUUAAGUAAAUAGCCUCCGGGUCGUCCAAGUUAGUAUGUGAAGUGAUAAAUGGGGUAAUAUGUGUUCACUAACUAUCUCUGUGUCAUGUAUUACAAGAAACUUUGACAGCUUAAGUGUUUAUGUUCUCUGUCUACGCAGUCAUUGCUCAUUACCACUCAUGGCAGCCGAUUGGGGGCUGAUACAGAUGUUGCUUCAGGCAGCUCUUCAACGUUACACUUAUUGGAUCCUAUGUGAUUAUGGACUUUUUGGCUUUUUUUUGUUUUCUUAGCGAAGAUAGAUUACAAGACUCAUGACUUCUAUGGGAGAAAUUGCCAAGAUAAAUGUGGAAAAAACAACAUAGUCUCAACAUGCUGCGAUUUUGAAAAUCUCCCGCAGAGCCCCAAAAAAGCCGAAAAACGCCAGAGAAGAGUAAAAAAACGCCACAAUGAAAAAUUUCAAAUAUUGCAGGAAAAUGAGUGAUGUUAUUUCAAAGUACAAUUGGUGGCGCAAGAAACAAGCCCUCAUCUUUAGGUGGAAAAUUUAAAGCGUUAUGGCUAUAAAAAGUACACAUCACAGUGAUGUCUAGUGGUACGUCCCCCCGCACCUGAAAGCUUUGACUCUCGCUCCCCGCACCUCCAGCUAUUGACUUGUUGUCUGCUGUAUGGACACUUGGAAUAAAGCAUCAUUUGGCAAAUACUUCUCAGUGGAUCACAACGUGGACUCAGGAUAAUCAACACCAAAAAAAUAUGCAUUGUGUUGUAUAUGUUUUUUCUAUUCUGGAGAGGACUCAGUGGGGCCAAUUACUUCAUUUUCUUUUAUUUAAUUUUGAACCUUGUUCUCAUUGGCUGCAAUUUUGUUGUGGUUCUGCCUGUGCGUGUCCACUGUCUCUACUAUAGCUGUUAGUAAAACCGCACUCCUGAUCCGGGGGGGGGGGGGGGAUGGCUGUUGUAUGCUGCCCCCCAACCCAGUGUUGGAGGUUUGUACCCCGAUACACUGUGGUUUCCAUGGUGUUAAGGUGACAUAGCGGACACUAAUAAUGCUUUGAGACUUGCUGUGGUCCAGUGGCAUCUUGAACCUUGCACUAUAUUGCCAAUGAUUUUGCCCAUACUUACCAUAGAAUUUUAUGACGUGUUUGCCCUUAUUAAAAAUGGCCGGCGCUGCCGCUGUUUGCCACAGCGCGCAUGCGCGUGCAACCUAUGAACUUUGCUGACGCCAUGCGGCAAUCUUUUUCUGAUUGGCACCCACUGUGUUCCCUCUUCUAGUCUAUACGCCGGCACACAUGGGACGCCGUCUCCACACUAUGUUGCCGAGCGGGAUGAUUUUCUUAUUGACUAUCAGACAACCUGGAUGAGUCCGGAAUAAUAAGCAGAAGUGAAGGAAAAUAAAAGUUUCUUUGGUCCCGGUGUGCGCUCGGCACAGCAUGCCACCUAUCAUUAGAGCUGAGGAAGACAGACUUGUGCUGUGCUGUGACAGUAAUAAGGAUUGUCACUGUGCUGUACAAUGCAGCCAUUACACAUGCCGCACUGGCCUCUUUAUACUCCAACUUUAAGAUGUAAAACUUCACGAUACAAAGGUUUCCGCUUCUUGAAAAAUAAAGGUGU